UACGUAGGUGGCAAGCGUUGUCCGGAUUUACUGGGCGUAAAGAGCGCGCAGGCGGUCGGAUAAGUCGAAUGUGAAAGCCCCUGGCUCAACCAGGGAGGGUCAUUCGAUACUGUUCGACUCGAAGGCAGGAGAGGGAAGUGGAAUUCCGGGUGUAGUGGUGAAAUGCGUAGAUAUCCGGAAGAACACCGGUGGCGAAGGCGGCCUGCUGGGCUAUGGCUGACACUGAGGCGCGACAGCGUGGGGAGCAAACAGG
rnacentral:rRNA from 1 species